rnacentral:rRNA from 1 species
UGGGGAAUCUUCCACAAUGGGCGCAAGCCUGAUGGAGCAACACCGCGUGAGUGAAGAAGGGUUUCGGCUCGUAAAGCUCUGUUGUUAAAGAAGAACACGUAUGAGAGUAACUGUUCAUACGUUGACGGUAUUUAACCAGAAAGUCACGGCUAACUACGUGCCUG